ensembl:lncRNA
AUGUCGCUGCCCGUGUCGGUGGGGGUCUUGUUGGUGGGCCUCCCUUACUCCAUCUCUCUAGCUGCCCAGUGGCUUUACGGCUGGCCCAGCAAGCCGGGAUACAAGAAGUACAUAGAAGCUCUGAAACCACGACGAAUAUACUGUUUGACCAGAGCUGUGCUGGAGACUCUCAAAUACCUGCAAUAUGGGCGACUUUACUUUCAGUGGAAGUCAUGGUACAAGAAUGAGGAAAACCGCAAGCACUAUGAGAAGGGCAUCACAUUUGGCCGCAGAAGCAACAAGCUGGACUUGUACCACCCUCCAAACGUGGACGGGUCCAAAGGUGUGCCGGCGCCGCUGGUGGUGUUCAUCUACGGGGGAGCGUGGGGCUCCGGAGAUCGAUCCAUUUACUGUUUGCUGGCGAGGCAGAUGGCGAAAGAACUGAGUGCAACUGUCAUUUGUCCCGAUUACUUUGUCUAUCCGAAGGACAACAUAGUAUUAAUCGGCCAUUCGGCAGGUGCUCAUUUGUGCACAUUGGCCGCGCUGUUUCUCAUUGACGGACGAGAGGAGCUUUUCAUUGAGGCAAGCAAGCAGGCGGACGUCACAGAGGCCAUAAGAGGAGUCAUUGGUCUGAGUGGCGUGUACAACAUCGUGGACCAUUACGAGCACGAGCAGAAGCGGGGAGUCGAGUACGUCUCCACCAUGCACAAAGCCAUGAAUGGAGUGGAGAACUUCCCGUACUACUCGCCGACACACUUACUGAAGAGGCUGAGCCGGGACAAGCUGGACAGAAUCCCUCCGUUUGCUCUGCUCCACGGGACCGACGACAUCAUCGUCCCCUUCGAUUCCUCCGCAAAGUUCUGCGACCUCCUCACCUCGCUGUCCGUGAAGGUGUCGCUCUACCUGCUCCCCCGCGUCGACCACACCGAGAUCGUCACCGACCUCAUGGUGCCCGACCGCCGCUUCUACCACCCCAUCUACAGCUGCAUCAAGCAGGAGCACAGGAAGCUGCUGGGGGCCUGGUGACGACCCGUCAGGAGAACACCCACCACUCGUCCAUCCAUCACUCGUAUUUACUGAUUGUGCCAUAUACUUGCUUUGUUUACGUCCCAUGCUCUAAUACCUCAACAUGAAUCGUGUUUAGCAUGGAUUUUUACUAGAUUGUGAUUCCGUGAUCAUGAUGUUUUUGAACAGAUUUUAAUUUGGUAAAUCUAAGGGUUACAUGUCAGUGAUUUUUCAUCUACAUUCUUUAAAAAUAAUAUUCCUUGUGGAAUGCAGUGUAGAUAACAUCAUUCUAAUGUUGUGUUGGAGAGAUGUUAGCUAGCUCACAGUGAAGGGAAAUCAAUCCAUAAGUGUUAUAAAAAGGACAGUGAAGCAGACUGAUACAUGCCGUGCAGUGAUACUGAUAAAGGAGCACAGUUACGACAGUACUGACUGCAACAUUUUGUCUAAUUGACUUUGGUGUUUUUAUUCAAUUAAAUUGUAAUAUAUUUUCCUGAAAAAAUAUUUAUUCAUAGUAGACACAUUAAACUCAUUUGAAUUAAACUAAUAUGACUACAAAUUGCUUGCACAAUGGAAUAUUGUACUUAAAUGUUUUGCCCAGCAAAAGCACUUAAAGAUUGUUAAUUGUACAAUUUUACAUUGUUUUUACCAUGUGCUUGUACUUUUGUUUCGGAAAGUUUUGUAUCAGAAGCGUGUCCCAUACAUACCAUACAUUUAAAAUGUCAUCAGGUAAUGGUUGUUGAAAACAUAAAUAUACUUUGUUGCAAUGUAUAAAACUCCAUUAAACCAUAUAAUGUAAGAGAACAUGCACAUUAUGAUUCCAUUCCAUGCAGUCACUGCAUAUGAGCGCCUAAUGGAAGUGAAAAUGGCCAUGGGACAUGUAACCAAAUAUUAGCACUGCUCUAUGUACUGUAUAUUUUUGACCCAGCAGAUGUUGUCACUUUUUCUGUUAACCCAUAAUAAAGUCAUAAAAGAUCCAAGCUUCAUGAAUGUUAUUUGUGACAAAGAAGUAUCUGUUCACAGAAAAAUCUGACUUGUAGAAAUCAGUGAAAACUAACAAGAGAGCCGUGACAUUAUGUUCUUUAGAAGUGAAUGUAAACUUUUGACCACAACUGUACAUGUAUCUACAUACAUAUACAUUCAUUACAUAAAUUAAAGCUUUGUUCAUGGCUACAUUUUGCUGCAGGGACGGAAUUUAGAUUAUCGGGUAUUUUCCUUUAGGCAAUUAGAAGUAUCAGUGGUGCGCACAUUGUACUGAGCUGAGUUCACGUGACGUCAACCAUUGGUUUGUGGAAUGCUCUCAGGUUAGGCAUUCUGGCCAGCUUAGUUGUAUAUAUUUUAGGAAUAUAUAUAUAUAUUCCUAAAAUCAGGUGGAUGACAUUUUUGCCCAAGACCAGGUUGAAUCUUUACAAGGACAUUUACAUUUUUAAAAUGUAAUAUUACCUUUCAUUUCCUUUAUUUCUUUGUUAGAGCUCAAGGAGAAUAGUUGGGGCAACGGACCGGGUGGUUCACCACUGCCUUGAAUUGACCUGAAUCCUGGAGGGUUGAAUACAAAAAGUAAAAUAUAUCUGCAUGUCACAAGCAUGCAUCUAAUAUGUAAAAUCUAAAUACGGUUCAUAAAAACUCGUAGUUCUACCAAUUUCUCUAGCUUUUAUUUUGAAAGCUGAGUUUAACACGCUUUAUUUGAGAAGAAACUCGCACACGUGCGGGCGGGGCGGAGCUUUGCGAGGACUCGCGUCGGUCCAGUGCGCUUCAGGCGGCAGAGCUUCACAGCUAAAGAAGUGACAAACAUGU